rnacentral:rRNA from 1 species
CCUACGGGAGUCAGCAGUGAGGAAUAUUGGUCAAUGGGCUUACGCCUGAACCAGCCAAGUCGCGUGAGGGAAGACUGCCCUAUGGGUUGUAAACCUCUUUUGUCAGGGAGCAAUUGGCGCUACGUGUAGCGUUAUCGAGAGUACCUGAAGAAAAAGCAUCGGCUAACUCCGUGCCAGCAGCCGCGGUAAUACGGAGGAUGCGAGCGUUAUCCGGAUUUAUUGGGUUUAAAGGGUGCGUAGGCGGAAUGCCAAGUCAGCGGUAAAAUCGCGGGGCUCAACCUCGCUCCGCCGUUGAAACUGGCGGUCUUGAGUGGGCGAGAAGUAUGCGGAAUGCGUGGUGUAGCGGUGAAAUGCAUAGAUAUCACGCAGAACUCCGAUUGCGAAGGCAGCAUACCGGCGCCCAACUGACGCUGAAGCACGAAAGCGUGGGUAUCGAACAGGAUUAGAUACCCGGGUAGUC